rnacentral:tRNA from 2 species
GGGGGUGUAGCUCAGUUGGGAGAGCACCUGCUUUGCACGCAGGGGGUCAUCGGUUCAAGUCCGUUCACCUCCACCA